AUUGAACGCUGGCGGCAUGCCUUACACAUGCAAGUCGAACGGCAGCACGGAGCAAUCCUGGUGGCGAGUGGCGAACGGGUGAGUAAAGUAUCGGAACGUGCCCAGUCGUGGGGGAUAACGUAGCGAAAGUUACGCUAAUACCGCAUACGAUCUAUGGAUGAAAGCGGGGGAUCGCAAGACCUCGCGCGAUUGGAGCGGCCGAUAUCAGAUUAGGUAGUUGGAGGGGUAAAGGCUCACCAAGCCGACGAUCUGUAGCUGGUCUGAGAGGACGACCAGCCACACUGGGACUGAGACACGGCCCAGACUCCUACGGGAGGCAGCAGUGGGGAAUUUUGGACAAUGGGCGAAAGCCUGAUCCAGCCAUGCCGCGUGCAGGAUGAAGGCCUUCGGGUUGUAAACUGCUUUUGUACGGAACGAAAAGGUUUGGCCUAAUAAGCUGAGCUCAUGACGGUACCGUAAGAAUAAGCACCGGCUAACUACGUGCCAGCCGCCGCAGUAA
rnacentral:rRNA from 1 species